rnacentral:rRNA from 1 species
GAUGAACGCUGGCGGCGUGCCUAAUACAUGCAAGUCGAGCGAACAGAUGAGGAGCUUGCUCCUCUGACGUUAGCGGCGGACGGGUGAGUAACACGUGGAUAACCUACCUAUAAGACUGGGAUAACUUCGGGAAGCCGGAGCUAAUACCGGAUAAUAUAUUGAACCGCAUGGUUCAAUAGUGAAAGACGGUUUUGCUGUCACUUAUAGAUGGAUCCGCGCCGCAUUAGCUAGUUGGUAAGGUAACGGCUUACCAAGGCAACGAUGCGUAGCCGACCUGAGAGGGUGAUCGGCCACACUGGAACUGAGACACGGUCCAGACGCCUACGGGAGGCAGCAGUAGGGAAUAUUACGCAAUGGGCGAAAGCCUGACGGAGCAACGCCGCGUGGGUGAUGAAGGUCUUCGGAUCGUAAAACUCUGUUAUUAGGAAAGAACAAAUGUGUAAGUGACUAUGCACGUCUUGACGGUACCUAAUCAGAAAGCCACGGCUAACUACGUG